CAGAAUCCCGCCUAGAAGUAACGAUACCCUAGUGCCGCGGAGCUUCGGUUGGUCUCGGAUAGCCGGCUUCGGUCGGCGAGGAGAGCCGCUCGUGACUGGGCUGGGGCGCGGCCGGACGAUGGCCGCCCCUCUCCUGUCUCGCACCGCAUGUUUGUGGAGAACCUGGUGC
rnacentral:rRNA from 1 species